GUACUAUCUAUGAAAAUCCCAGAAAUGAAUCAAAUUUAAACUAUAAAUUUGUGUUUAACAUACUGCAAGUGAUUGACUAGAAUGAAAGAAGACUGAAAAUUUAAGACCCUUAUAUGGACAAUAUGAAAAAUACAAGUAGAUGUCUCAGGACUGUCAACCAACUACCACUAGGAAAGCCAGAGUCAAAUGUUGAACUAACAUCAACUACAAGGGAAACAAAGCAACCCCUGAACUUUGGCUGUCAGCAUAAGUUGAAGAGAGCAGUAAUGGGAGCAAGAUGUGGUGUGGGGAUGCCGUUCUUGAGCAGAAAGCCUCACCAGGGAUGACUGCUCCCUUCUCUCUGGAGAAUAACCCACACUCCCCCGAAGAUUCUUUAUACCUUUUGCUUGAGAAGAAAAACCUUACUAAUCCAGUGAAAAAAUCUGUCUUGCAACUUAGGAGUUUCGCAAAGGCAGUCAUGCCUUUUUCCCUCUGGUCCGAUCACUAAUCAUGUUAACCUCACAGAGCAAAAUACAAUAUUCAGAGUUUAAUAAAGUCAAGAUCCCAGAGUCUUUAGAGGUAAAA
rnacentral:lncRNA from 12 species